rnacentral:rRNA from 1 species
CAGUCGCCGCGGUAAUACAGAGGGUGCGAGCGUUAAUCGGAUUUACUGGGCGUAAAGCGUGCGUAGGCGGCUUCUUAAGUCGGAUGUGAAAUCCCUGAGCUUAACUUAGGAAUUGCAUUCGAUACUGGGAAGCUAGAGUAUGGGAGAGGAUGGUAGAAUUCCAGGUGUAGCGGUGAAAUGCGUAGAGAUCUGGAGGAAUACCGAUGGCGAAGGCAGCCAUCUGGCCUAAUACUGACGCUGAGGUACUAAAGCAUGGGGAGCAAACAGGAUUAGAUACCCCGGUAGUCCCUGUCUCUUAUAC